rnacentral:rRNA from 1 species
AACCGCGGUUAGACGAGAGGCCCCAGUUGAUUAUAUACGGCGUAAAGGGUGGUUAGGGAAAAUAAAAAAUAAAGCCGAACGGCCCCUUGGCUGUCAUACGCUCCUGGGAGCCAGAAGCCCUACUACGAAGGUGGCUUUAAAAACACCUGAACCCACGAAAGCUAAGGAA